rnacentral:rRNA from 1 species
GAUGAACGCUGGCGGCGUGCCUAAUACAUGCAAGUCGAGCGAACAGACGAGGAGCUUGCUCCUCUGACGUUAGCGGCGGACGGGUGAGUAACACGUGGAUAACCUACCUAUAAGACUGGGAUAACUUCGGGAAACCGGAGCUAAUACCGGAUAAUAUAUUGAACCGCAUGGUUCAAUAGUGAAAGACGGUUUUGCUGUCACUUAUAGAUGGAUCCGCGCCGCAUUAGCUAGUUGGUAAGGUAACGGCUUACCAAGGCAACGAUGCGUAGCCGACCUGAGAGGGUGAUCAGUCACACUGGAACUGAGACACGGUCCAGACUCCUACGGGAGGCAGCAGUAGGGAAUCUUCCGCAAUGGGCGAAAGCUUGACGGAGCAACGCCGCGUGAGUGAUGAAGGUCUUCGGAUCGUAAAACUCUGUUAUUAGGGAAGAACAAAUGUGUAAGUAACUAUGCACGUCUUGACGGUACCUAAUCAGAAAGCCACGGCUAACUACGUG